CCGCCGGCCGCUCGGAUCUGAGACCACUCCCCAGCCUCCAGCGCCCGAAAUUCGAGGACCGUUGCCCACACGCCACCGUUUGCCCCGGCGGCCGAGGCGGCAUGUGCAGACACGUCCUGGUCAGCACGCACGCACGGAGGAAUACUCCCUCGGGGUCCCGGGGCAAAGCCUUCCCCAGCCAGGACAAACUCCAGCGUGGGCUCCGGCGGUGACUUCCCCGUGCCCCACCAGCACCAGGGCCAGAACACGCGCACCCCGAAGUCACCGGUGCCCCAGUCCACACCUAGGCACGCGCACGCGGCUCGGGCUCCUCCAGCUUGCUGCUUUCUGCUCACCCUGCCAUGGACUGUUUCUCCUCUGUGAUAGCCCCUCUGCCAUGCUGCCCUUCCUUGGAGCCAGAUUAGUGACUAAACUUCUACAAAUGACCUUUCAGGAGCCUCUUUAUUCUGCAAGUAAUUACCUCAUAUCCCAAAUGGCUUUCCAGCUGUCCAUCCAUCUCCACAAAUCAUCUUGGCAUCACAGGGGGUCUUUGGUUGGUGCCACUUCUGAAACAUCAACCGACUCCAUGGAGAAACUGGAUGAAAUGGUGGAAUCCAGACAUCUGAUCUAUUUGAAGUGCCCUUUGAAUUGCCUUAGGCAGGUGAUUCCCUGAUCAUGUGACCCUGAUGGUGUCUGCUAAGUGCCAGGCUCUGUGCCAGAAGCUGGGUGCCAUGGGAGCUUCAGUUGAUGGGAGAGGCAGACUUGUGGCAGGAUCUCCUACUGGAGUCCCUCAGACCCUUGCCUGGCCUGGCAAAGAAGGGGCUGAGGCUCUCCAGAGACUCUAGCACUUGACUUUCCCCUGGAGGAAUAAUGGGGAACACUUUAUGCUGUCUGCACCAGGAGCACCAGCUGUGCAAAUGUAGGAUAACAUUGCUACUGUUUCACUGUUUUGUCUCUAUGACAGACAUCAUCAAUCAAUUGCUGCAUUGUUUGAUUCCUUUUCAUGUCCUAAGUCUGUGACUUAUGCUGUCCAUUACCUACUGGACGAUUCAGUCACUGUUGCAAGGUGCUUCCCCUCUUCCUCCUCUAGAUAUUUCUAGGAGUUCCCAGUCUCCAUCGGUGUCCACAAAUUACCACUGGCAGCCACCUACUCUUCCUUUCCUCCAAUGAUUCCCACAGGACCUUGACUGCUGUUGUCCACAAAAUUGCUUGGUCAAAGCCCUUGUGAGGCCACCAUAGGGAAACUGUCCUAAUGUCUUCAAAGCUGCCAGGAAGCAUUCACAUUACAGGAGAAUUAUUAUUGCCUGACCACUAGGAAUCUUUGUUAUCCCGCAAGUUAGAAUAUAGGUGAUCUCACAGUUGAUUCAUUAAUGAAUAUUGUGGAAAUAGGAAAACACACGAGUUUCUCUCUUCUCCCUCUUUUCCUCACUGUACCAUGUAGUCCUCCAAGUGUGGCCUGCGGAACCUCCCUGGGAUCUGCAAGAUGAGAACUGUUUUAAGGACAGCUCUAAGGCCUCGGUGUCCCUUCUCACCGGCAUGGAGGCACAGAGUAGCUUCCAGCAGCUUCCAGAUCCAUGGUACUGCAACAGGCUGAGCAGCCGCAGAUGUGAGGCGCUGCCGUCUUCUCUUACAGCAGACAUUAUGGAGACUUUCAAACCCUGCAAAGUAUCUCUGUGCUUCUCACUAAUUGCUUUUUGUUUUGGAAAAUACAGGUUUUUUCAUAAAAGGGUUUAUGUUAAUAUAUAAUGGGAUUAUUAUUGUUUUUAAAUGAAUCUUUCAAAAAAUUCUUGGUUUUAUUUUAAAAGAAGGUAAAUAUUGCUAUUUGUCUACAGAUAUUAUCUCCUCGAAGUUCUUUUAAGUUAAGACAAUAUCACUUACCCCCUACCAGGUGGUGGUUCUGUUGGCGGUAGGACAUAAAGUAUCUUUCUUGAGGUCUCCUGCUCCUCCUUUUCUGUCUUUGCGUCUUUUAUAUUUUUCUUUUCUCUCUUUUUACAGUGCUGGGGCUUGAACUCAGGGCUUGAUGCUGGUUUCAUUAUGUUGCCCAGGCUGGCCUUAAGCUUCUGGAUAUAAACAAUCCUCCUGCCUCAGCCUCCCCAGUAGCUGGCCACAGAAGUGGAAGUUGAGGCACAGAAAAGGAAAUGAUCAGAAAGCCUCCCGCAUUCAGAUGUUCCCCAAGAGGGACAGGCUGGGCCUUCGUGUGAAGAACAGAAUGUUCCUGGUGGGUGAGCCUUGUGCCUGCAAAGCCCACUGCUGGGCCAAGGGCUGAGCUCCUCCUCCCUUUCCUUCACCUUCUCCUCCUUUUCUUCCUCCCCCUUCUCCUCCCCCUUCCCUCCCCCUCCCCGUCUUCUCCCCCUCCCCCUUCCCCUUCCCCUUCUCCUCUGUCUUCAUCCUUCUCUGCUCCGGCUUGACCCAGUCAACUGGGAAAGAUUGCACCAGACAGGCAAGCGGAGGUAGAAGCUUCGAGGUGGGACUGGGAACCUGAGGUGACUUGGUUACAUUAAGCCCCUGGGACAGGGGACAAUUAUAUAAUGGCGGACAGGAGGGCAAGGGUGACAGAGCAAGCCAAGGCAAGGGAUGAACCCUGGAGUUGGAGGGAAGAAAAGCAGGACAGAGCAGAGGAAAUGUGUCCAUCACCAGCUGGGCAGCUGCCAUGCAGGAGCAAACUCAUCACCUCCUCUGGUGUUCCUGUCCCUGCGGGCUUCAUCCUCGACUCUCCUGGCUCCGCUGAGUACAGAUGAUUCUUGAAGUCCUGGUAUCUUAGCAUCAAACUCCAUUACUGUCUAAUUAACAGGACCCAGUUUCUUGCUUGGAGGCAAGAAUCCCAAAUACGCCCAGGCCUUUGCUGCCCCAGUAGCAGAAUGGCCAGGGGUCACACAGUAGAUGCACAGUGCAGAGGCCAGAACCCGGUGGAUACUGAUGCAUUUUCUUGUGGUUCUUACUGUCACGCUUUGUCUACCCGAAGGCCACUUCUGUGGGCAGGAUGAAUUUGAGGACCUCAUUUCUUCUGCUGGGACUCUGACUCGUUCAACAUCACUGGGAAUGAUAGUGGACAGGGCACUGUCCACUACAUCCUAUCUAGAAACAAUAAAAUAAGAAAUCUUAAAAUUCCAAUGUAUAGAGUCUGUGUUUUAUAUAUCUGUUCAUCAGCUGAUGGGCAUCUCAUUGCUUUCGCUUUGAACUAUAGUGAACAAUGCUGCUAUAACCGUUUGUGUACAAUUCUGUGGGGCCCUAUAUUACCAUUUGGGGGGGAUAGAUACUUAGGAUGGAAUGGCUGUUUAUAUGGUAAAAGUAUGAUGGGUAAGAAACUGUCCACCUACUCUAAAAGUUGUUUGUUUGUUUGUUUGUUUGUUUUAGGGACAGGGUCUUGUUAUACUCCCCACACUGGCCUUGAAUCCAGGGCUCAAGGGAUCCUCCUGCCUCAGCCUCUCAAGUAGCUGGGACUGUAGGUCUGUGCUACCUACCAUGCCUGGAUUAGAAGUGUUUGUCAGCCUGGGCACAGUGGCACAU